rnacentral:lncRNA from 1 species
UACACGCUUGACACGUCAGAACGUCUCGGUCGAGGACUCGUUAGAAACGACCAUGUUCAGCGGCGAUUUGCGACACCGAGACGUGUAUUCGUUGUCUUAUUCUGAUCGGCUAACCUGUGGUUCCGUGAAGUCAGACAAUAUGCCAGCAGAAGUUUGCGCAACGUGUCGUUAACUUCGUUGCUUCGAGCCACAAUUGUGUCGGAGCUUUCUCGCCAAGCGGACCAGCGAACAACUUUGGUGGAUUUCGCUAUCAAACAUUCUACAAAAAUCGGCCCAAAGGCGGACGGAAGACAUUACAGAUAGACACACAGAAGCCAUCGGGCUGCCUCAGAAACUGUGACUGAGCCUUAACCUACAUAAAGAAAGGAGCCAAGCAGAGCUGUUCAUGGGCCAUGCACACAGUUUCAUAAGUGGGCUUUCAGAACUUUUGACAAUUAUGUUUCUGAAUACAUCUGCCAAAGUUGUGUUUAAAGAAGCGUGUAGUAGUGCAUUUCAUUACUCAUUUGACAUGCUGCAGCAGGUAUAACUCACACACUUGCAAGAUAACGCAGCAGAGUGCAUACAUAUAAACUACCCCCCCAUACACACUAGAUUUGUGGAUGAACUGUGAAUUGUUUACUCUGACCUUUCACAACAAUUAUUAAAAAAUGACAUAAAGCUUUGCCAUCUAUGCAAGUAGCGUUCUCCCUAUGAGUUAGAAAUAAGUGUGCAAAGUUCAACCAGUCUACUGGUCACAUAUUUUCUUGUAAACAUUUAUAAAUAGAAGGCCGGGGUUGUUGGAAGCUGAUAGCGACUGCACAAGGUUUCUGUUUUCUCACAUUUGCACAUGAAGUGGCAUAGUCAAAUUGCUCAGGCAGCUGCUAUGUAUUGUUCACUCAACAAGGUUUAAGCUCUGUGUCAGAACAUGUUGCAUGAAAAACUUAAGCAACGUCCUCUUUACGUUCUUCAAGUUUUGUUGACCACUUUUCAUUUGUUUUUUGCCCACGGAAGUUGUGUCGCAAUUUUCGCUUUAUAUUUCAUUGAUGACCUCACUCAAAUCUUCAGUGCUUUUCGGUAUAGCUUGGGAUAUACGUUCACAAACCACACACCUGUGCAUGAUCGGAGGAAAGUCUUCUACAAAGUACACUGGGGUAUUGCAACGCUACUCCUAUUGGCAAAAUGGGCAGAAAGAGUUCAGAGGUUUAAAGACUGCAAAGCGGGGAUGCUGCUAUUGCCACCAGGGCAGCUUGUUCCAAGACUGAGUUUAACUACUGGACAACAAGGCGUAGCUUCUAUAUAAACAGUGCUUAAAUCUGGCUUGGACACAGAUAGGGGGGUGGGGACUUAGAAUAUUACUUAAUUUGUUGUCAACCAUUAACUUCCAAGAGCAACAUGUUCACUAGGAUGUAUAUUGCUAAAGAAAUGCUAAACCUUCACUGACUUGUUACUAACAAUGCUGGAACUGCCACCUGCUUAGGUCAGAACACUUCUAUGCAACUUUACUAAUUGCAAGUCCAAGUAAACUUUUUACACUCAUUAUUUCACACGUAGUUUAGAACAUCGUUGCAUGUACAGAUUGGCUCAACAAAAAGAAAUCUGCAAAAUGGGGAAAGGGAGGAUGUAAUGUGAAUUUAGCCCGGGUAAAUUUUUGGCCUUGUUGGUGUAACAUUUGCAUAAAGUUCAGCGUAGCACUUGAAAUCACAAGGAUGGGACAGGCUUGUGUAUGUUCUGCCUCUCCCAUCUUCAUCAUUUAAGUGCCGCGAUUAGAUCUAUAAAGAUGUCAUGUUCUCUAUGUGCCUUUGUUUGCUGUGCACUCCAAUCUUGUGUUCUUUGUGUGGAGUUCAGUUCAACUGGACUCCUGUUCAAUUUGGUGUUAUGUACAUAAUAAACAGGUACUUUAGGGAGCUAGC